UCUGACACAGUAUCCAAACGCCUCCCGAGUAUUCUCCAUCACCGCAUUAUGACCUGAAUGAAACAACUCUGGUAGCAACCAAUCCCCACAAAUGGAAAUUAGCACCAGCAAACCCCUUAGCUUUCUCUCAUCAAAUUCACAAACUUCAUCAACUUUCCAAGAUUUCAAUACCCUCUUCAACAAUCUUAACACCACCCUCUUAUCCACCAGCACCUCAUCCCUCCGUCGCCUCACAAAUACCCCAUGUAAAGCAGAGAAAAUAAAAAAUGGUCAAAAUUUCAGCCCAAAAAGGAUUCUUCAAUUUUCAUCGACUUCAAUCUCCAUUCAACCUGAAAUCAAAAACCCAGAAAACCCCACUUCUCGAAUUUGGCUAAAACCAGCCUCAAGAGGCUCUCCCCAAGUCUACGCCCUGUUCAAGAAUCUCUCUGUUUUGGAAAAAGCCCUCAUGGGUGCUGCUGGUGGAGGCAUUGCUGGUGCAUUCACUUAUGUCUGCCUCCAUCCUCUUGACACAAUCAAGACUAAGCUCCAGACAAAGGGGGCAUCAGAAAUUUAUAGUGGUACAGUUGAUGCCAUUGUUAAGACCUUCAAAACCAGGGGAAUUUUGGGGUUCUAUAGUGGAGUUUCUGCGGUGAUUGUUGGUUCUACGGCUUCUUCUGCUGUGUAUUUUGGGACAUGUGAGUUUGGAAAGUCAGUUUUGUCGAAAAUCCCUCAAUAUCCAGCUGUUUUGAUACCCCCUACUGCUGGGGCUAUGGGGAAUAUUGUUUCAUCAGCUAUAAUGGUACCUAAGGAAUUAAUUACUCAGAGGAUGCAAACUGGUGCAAAGGGGAGGUCUUGGGAGGUUUUAUUGAAAAUUUUGAAAAAAGAUGGAAUUUUGGGAUUGUAUGCUGGAUAUAGUGCUACAUUGCUGAGAAAUUUGCCUGCUGGGGUGUUGAAUUAUUCAUCGUUUGAGUAUCUUAAAGCUGCGGUAUUGAAUAGUACUCAUCAGGUUCAUUUGGAGCCAUUUCAGAGUGUCUGUUGUGGUGCAUUGGCUGGAGCCAUAUCAGCUUCACUGACAACUCCUUUGGAUGUGGUUAAGACAAGAUUGAUGACUCAGGUUCAUGGGGAGGCUGUGAAUAAGGUUGCAGCUGUAAUGUAUAGUGGUGUCUCAGCUACUGUUAAACAGAUUUUGAAGGAAGAAGGCUGGAUAGGGUUUACACGAGGAAUGGGGCCUAGAGUUGUUCAUAGUGCCUGUUUUUCUGCAAUUGGUUACUUUGCCUUUGAGACAGCUAGGCUCACAAUUUUGCAUCAGUAUUUGAAGCAGAAGGAGCUUCAGAACAUGGCUCUUGAUUCUUCAUCCACGGUCAAUCAGAGUGAAUAAAGUGGCAACGAGGUGCUUUGCAAGUGCAUCUGGGUUAUGGUGAUAUGCAAGGCUCAGGAAGGCCAAAAGCUAAGACGAAAAGUAGUGUUAGGCGGUCUUUUAUUGUUUUUGGUGGGUAAAAGAAGUUCAUUAAUUGAAAAACCAAAGGCAGUGUAACAUUUGACGGAUCAACAGCAAGAAGGGCAACAUGUGUGAUGUGGUGGUAGAGACAAAAAUUGAGGUGGAGCUACCCACUGUAGCAAUCUUAAGUGGCUGCCUCAAGAUGGGACUUGGCUGAGUUGCAGUUUGAUACAAAUUCUUGUUAUCCCAGUUGUUUCCUCCAAUAUAAAACUCCAGCUACCUCUGUUGAACUCAAAUGCUGAAGUUCUUGGAUUCAUUUGGUUGCUUUUCUUGGAUGAUGAUGAAGUUCCUCUGAAAGUCUUUUGACACCUGAAAAUGUUCUUAAACUAAGCUUUUGUUUGUCAUAAGCAUUUCAAACAAUUUGUUGUAUCCAUCACAAUUCCCCAUAUGACCCUUAAUUUACAGCAGCUCGUACAAACUGAACGCCUACUAGAGAGACAGGAAGACGGAAUUCUAAUUGUUCUUGAGUUAAUGAUUAUGUCUUCUAUCAGGGAAAAAAAAUGUGUUCGUCCUCGCAUCCUUUAUGUAUGGAAAAAUCUGUAAUAAUCUUGUCCUUGGAUUGGAUUUCCUUCAAGCAAUCUGGUUUCUGCU